CCAACGGCCCUCUUUAGGGCCACAAAUCAAUAAAUUGGACGUUCAGU
rfam:Enterobius vermicularis genome assembly, scaffold: EVEC_scaffold0001072